UGGUUCAGUGCUAGAGCACAUGCUUUAUAAGCAUGAGACUUUGGGUUAGAUUUCCAG
rnacentral:tRNA from 1 species